GACGAACGCUGGCGGCGUGCUUAACACAUGCAAGUCGAACGGAAAGGCCCUGCUUUUGUGGGGUGCUCGAGUGGCGAACGGGUGAGUAACACGUGAGUAACCUGCCCUUAACUUUGGGAUAACUUCAGGAAACAGGGGCUAAUACCGGAUAGGAGCUCCUGCUGCAUGGUGGGGUUUGGAAAGUUUGGGCUGUUGGGGCUGGACUGGCAGCUUAUCAGCUUGUUUGUGGGGUAGUGGCUUACCAAGGUUGUGACGGGUAGGCGGCCUGGGAGGGUGACCGGCCACAAUAGGACUAAGGUACGGACCAGAAUGCUACGGGAGGCAGUAGUGGGGAAUAUUGCGCAGUAGGCGGGAGCCUGUUGCAACAACGCCGCGUGCGUGAUAACGGCCUUUGAGGUGUAAACCGCUUUCGCCUGUGCUGAAGAGUGAGUGACGGUAAUGGGUAAGAAAGCCCCGGCUAACUACGUG
rnacentral:rRNA from 1 species